GACCAACUAAGUUUGUUCUGGCUAUAAGCUUUCGUGUGUAUCUAAAGAAGUGGGCAUGCACACAAAAGCUUAUAACCAGAACAAACUUAGUUGAAA